rnacentral:rRNA from 1 species
UACGUAGGGGGCAAGCGUUUGUCCGGAUUCAUUGGGCGUAAAGAGCGUGUAGGCGGCCAGGUAGGUCGGUUGUGAAAACUGGAGGCUCAACCUUCAGAGGUCGACCGAAACCAUCUGGCUAGAGUCCGGGAGAGGAGAGUGGAAUUCCUGGUGUAGCGGUGAAAUGCGUAGAUAUCAGGAAGAACACCCGUGGCGAAAGCGGCUCUCUGGAACGGUACUGACGCUGAGACGCGAAAGCGUGGGGAGCGAACAGG